GUCAGGGUAGCUCAGUUGGUCAGAGCGCCACACUCAUAACGUGGAGGUCGUGGGAUCGUACCCCACCCCUGACA
rnacentral:tRNA from 3 species